CAUUCGAGUAUAUAAACCUAAAUAGUCGAACAUACUAUCUAAAGCAUUUGAGUAUCUCGGGAAUAGAAAAGUCCUUAUCUACACUUGCUGGACACUUUCUUGUUUAUGGGCUUAGAUGGGUCCGAAAGAGAAUACAAAACUUGAGCAUAUAUUAACAUUUUUCACCUUAGGCCCACCAAUCUUAUUCCUCUUCUUAUCUUUUUCUUUUGUUCUCCGUCGAAAACCUGCGGCGACAGCUAUUUCACAUCUUCCUUUUCUUAAAUCAAUGGUGAAUGAGUGAGUUGGUGACCUAUACCCCUGGUGUUCUGAAGACUCUAAUGGCUCGUGCGCAGCUUCUAAUCUUCAGUUUCUUUCAUCUCCAGUUUCUUCAUCGAGUACCAUUUUCUCGAAGCUUCAUUUGAUUCUCGCUGAAAUCUUACCAUGGUUAGAACGAACUCGAUACCAUGUUAGAUAAUCGUUCAUGUUUCUGUAGUUUCUGAUCGACGGCGAGGUCAUACGAAGGAGAAGAUGAUGAGGUGUCUCGGAUGGCCCAUAAAAUCUAGGGCUUUCGCUUGAUAAUUUUCUGACCAGACUUUUUAUGUGUUUGAGGCCAACUUAAUAGCCCAUUUAAAAACAGUGAAACGAAAUAUUUUGUAAACCCAUGUUUAGGCAAGCUGACGUGUCACGCUCUGGUUCUUCUAGUUUAUGACGUGGCUGCCUAUGUGGCACAACAGGAGGGAGGCAAACAUUUUUAUAUAUAUAUAGAUAUUAAAGGGAAACAGUGAUUCUAGGUUACAUAAACAAUCUAAACAUCUAACAGCAAAUCAAACAAGAGGCAAGAAGAAAUCAGUCACAUGUGAAAAGACUGGGAGGCAUAGCCUCCGACUUCGUUAGACACAGACGGUUUCAAGAGACGGUGGUCGGGACUUCAUAGAGUAACAUCAAUUCUAAUUUAUCCAAACUCAUUCUAAUUCUUCUGUUCAUUCCAAGAUGUUACUUUCUCAUCUGGUGCAUCCUUGUUUCACCAUGCGCGGGACAGUAGUCAAAAGGUGUAUAUUUUUGUAUUAAUAAUGAAUAUAAUCUAAUACGUAUAAUGUCUGUAAGAUAAUCGUGUAUAUAUAUUGAACGCAUAAUUUUACGCAUGCAUGUUUAUUUAUGUAUUAUGGGGACUUUGUCUCCGUUGCCAUCAUUUUAUAAGUCAACAUCGGCCAACCGUAUGAUGAAAAUUUUCAUAUGCUACAUAAUAUACCGCAUUUAGUCGUAUCUGAAAAGCACUGUUUGAUUAAGUAUAUUCAAAUCAUCUCCUAAAAUAAAAUUCAUCACCCAUGAUGCUAUAAAACGUGUGCAGUUAAUGUGAUUCAACAUCGCUUUUUGAAAAAUGUCAAUUACUUUAAGAAAAUAAUUUAACGUUUAAGGCGAUACUCUGAUAAAAUAGUGAUUAUGUGUUAUAUUCAACUCUUUUUAUUAAAAUAACUAAUUUAAUCGAUAACUUAAGAGUAAAUGACUUGAGAGCUUUUAUCAAAAAGAAACUUUCAUUUCAACUACUCUUGCUUUUAGAAUCAUUGGAAUUUGGAAAUGGAGGUAUUUGCAGAGUAAUUUCCUACCCACUAUCAAUGAAUUUUGAAUUAAUAGAUGUAAUUCAGUUAGUAGGUUACAAUUUCAACAAUUUUUGUAGUGUACGUAGUUUCGAGAUAGGAUCAAAACCAUAGAUUUGCUCCAGGACAGAAAGAAAGCACACAUAAACGGAAGUCUCACAUAAACUGUAUAUACAUUGCCAUUUGCCAACGCAGAGGUCAAUUAUGUAUUUUUCUCACAAUUUAUUUUCUUCGAGAAGUACGCAUUGUAACAGUUAUUUGAUAUUAUUCAAAUGUUCAGUAUUUUUUUUUUUUUUGAGAACUGGCAUGAAUGUUCAUUAUUUUGAUAUACGAAGAAAAAACAGUUACAAAAAAAAAAGAUAUUGAUGAUUUUAUUCAUAUGAUAUUUUUGAGCAUGAUGGAGAAUAAAUGUACCUGUUUCCACCUGAAAAAAUAAAAGCCACUAAACAAUUAGGAAACGCAAGUUAGUCGUGUGUUAAAUUGUAACCAAAUUGUGAAUUUUAUAUUGUCUGCGUAUAUCCACAAGAACACAACCAUAAGUCUAAUCGAAGGUGAACUAACAGCUGAUUUAAACUAGAUGGAGAUCGGAGUUCUCUACAUUAGGACGUACAAACUGGAAGUUUGUCAACAAUUUUUUUUACUAUAAAUAGUAAGUAUAACGAGAGUUCAAAUUUUUGAUGUGGAGGGCGUUAGCUAGUUACUGUUUAUUUUAACAGAAAAGACGUAGAGUUUAGCGAUUUGAAAAUGCUUUUGAUAAAAAAAUAUUUUAUAAAAAUAAAUAAAAUUUACAAAGCACUAAAAGUCUAAAACAAAAGAAAUUAACAGUUUAUCUUUUUUCCAAAAUAUGAGACGAUACCAAAAGAAACGCAAAAAGAUAUAAGAAUUUAACUUUUUCCAAUAAUUUCCAAAAGAAGAAAUAAA